UGGGGAAUUUUGCACAAUGGGGAAAACCCUGAUGCAGCGACGCCGCGUGAUUUAGAAGGUCUUCGGGUUGUAAAAAUCUUUUCUAUGGGAAGAAAAUGACAGUACCAUAGGAAUAAGGACCCGCUAAUUACGCGCCAGCAGCCGCGGUAAUACGUAAGGUACGAGCGUUGUCCGGAAUCAUUGUGCGUAAAGGGUACGUAGGCGGGUAAGCAAGUUAGAAGUGAAAUGCUAUAGCUCAACUAUAGUAAGCUUUUAAAACUGCUAAUCUUGAGGUAUGGAAGGGAAAGUGGAAUUCCUAGUGUAGCGGUGAAAUGCGGAGAUAUUAGGAGGAAUACCGGUGGCGGAGGCGGCUUUCUGGCCAUAACCUGACGCUGAGGUACGAAAGCGUGGGUAGCAAACAGG
rnacentral:rRNA from 1 species